AGGGGGAGGAAAUUGAUGGGGGGGGCAGAGAAGGGGGGGACGGGGAGGGUUCAAACCCGCGCACUCCCUGCCCUUUCUCCUCCCUCUCCUGCUCCAGCGGGUGCACCACCUCCCGCCCCCGCUGAUGCUCCCAGUACCCAAAGGGUGCGGAGAGCGCGGGGCGGGGGUGCGCACGCCCUCCUCCUUCAGCCCAGGACCGCGGGCAGCGGCGCAUCCACGCCCCACGCAGAGCCCAGUACCGGGGCGGAGGUUGUCCCGGCCGCGCUCAAUGACGCGCUGGGGUCCAGGAGCUGGAGACCCGAGGGGCACCCGGAGACUCACAUCCCCGCGGCGCCGGGCCCACUCCCACGGGCCUCCUCUAGGAAAAAGCGUCCCCCGCGUGCCUGCGUGAAGUCCUUGGACCCUGGGUGCGGAAGAGACUCGUUCUCACUGGCUCCCAACCCCUAGACUUUUUGUAUCUAUUCCUGCAGAACGACUGGUCAUUUUAGGCCCCAAUCAAGCCUUUGUGGAUUAAUCAGUGGUCAUGGUUCAUUUUGCUGUGUGUGUACACUGCAAUAUAUGGCAUUUGCAAACGCCACAAGAUCUACGAAAAGUUCUUCACCUGCCUUAAGGGAAGCAAUUAAAAAGUCAUGAUCCUAGCCAGAAAGGCCAGAAAAUCAAGCUGAAGGCUGACGGUAGGAUAGAACCAAACGGAAUAGGGAUCGGUUUUCAGUUUUAAUAAGAUCUCAGGUUACUGGACUCGCUUUGUAAAAGGCAGCAAAAUGGAGCCACGCUGCGUGAGUUCAAAGCUCAGCCCUGCCGUUUGCUAGUCAUGUGACUUUGUACAACUACUUAGCUUCUCUCUGCCUCAAUUUUGUAGUCUACAAAAUGGGGAUAACACAGCACUACAAACCACUCCUGCCCUCCUAGUGUGAGGGUUAAGUGAGUCAGCAGGUCUGCCUGGCUCCGGGGAGCCCUACCUACCUAAGUGUCAGCUAGGAUUACCAUACGUUGGUUCUAACAAAUAAACAAACACAUCCCGUUGCUAACACACAGAUACAGACCCCGUAAUGCCACAAAGCAAGUACUAUGACAGAUAUUUCUUUUUAAAAAAAUCAUAGCUGCCGCCUUUCGUGAAAAAAGAAAACUGUUGAUUUCUGAGCCUCUUAGGCAAGCUACUCUGAUGAAAUAUCAUUCCUAAUGAUGCUGUGCUGUUCGACUUUUCAAAAGAGAUGAUUUCUUAAAAGGGAUUCACCAGCCCAACAGGUUUUGAACCACUCAUUGCCCUGCUCACAGGUCCACCUCAAAAGUGAAUAAAACAGUAAUUUGCUGUCAGAGAGAGUCAGUUGUCAUCUAAAAACACCCCAGAGCUGAUUUGAAAUGCCUGAAACGGUGGAUGAAUUUGGAGGAUUUAUUGCUAAGUGAAAUAAGCCGGAGAGAGGAAGACAAAUACUGCAUGGAAUGACUUAUAUGUGGAAUCUUAAAAAAAAAUAAAAAGUUGAGCUUAUGAAAACAGAGAGGAAGAAUGAUGGUGAUAUGUGACAUUUAUAGCUGAUUUAUCAGAUCUCCGAACUAUGAAUUGUAUGAUUUCUUAGUCAACCAGCACCAAUCAUGUGGACCACAGUGAGUUCCAGCACGUCUAAAAGAAGCAGUUGGAAGUCAAGAUGGCUAUGAUUCUUCAUCAUUGUUGUCUCCAAGGAAAGAUCCUAAAGCAAAGUGGUGAAAAGCACCAAAUGCCUUCAUCCUCUUUCCCCCAGUCCUAAUAAAAGGAAUUAUUUUACUUGA